UACAGAGGGUGCGAGCGUUGUUCGGAAUUAUUGGGCGUAAAGGGCGCGUAGGCGGUGCGGUAAGUCACCUGUGAAACCUCUGGGCUUAACUCAGAGCCUGCAGGCGAAACUACCGUGCUGGAGUGUGGGAGAGGUGCGUGGAAUUCCCGGUGUAGCGGUGAAAUGCGUAGAUAUUGGGAGGAACACCAGUGGCGAAGGCGGCUCACUGGACCGGUACUGACGCUGAUGCGCGAAAGCGUGGGGAGCAAACAGG
rnacentral:rRNA from 1 species